AUGAGUCCAGUGUUAUCAGUUAGUAAGAACUGGUGCCAUAGAAUAGGAAUUGCUGCACAGAUGCUGGGACUGGCUCAAGGGUGCUUUGACUACACUAUUCCCUAUAUGAAAGAAAGGAUGCAGUUUGGCAAAAGAAUAUUUGAUUUUCAGGGGCUCCAACACCAAGUGGCCCACGUUGCCACCCAGCUGGAAGCUGCAAGAUUGCUAACAUACGACACUGCUAGGCUUUUAGAAGCUGGAAAACCAUUCAUAAAAGAAGCAUCUAUGGCCAAAUACUAUGCAUCAGAGGUUGCAAGUCUCACAACUAGUAAGUGUAUUGAGUGGAUGGGAGGAGUCGGCUACACCAAAGAUUACCCUGUGGAAAAAUACUUCCGAGAUGCAAAAAUUGGUACAAUAUAUGAAGGAACUUCAAAUAUCCAGCUGAACACCAUUGCAAAGCACAUUGGUGCAGAAUACUGAUGUCCAAGGGAACGGGGCCUCUCCCCCUGGUUGCUGGUAGAAAAUUCUAAACUAUCGUGCCUUGUUGGGGAAGUAAACCUCCACAGC